rnacentral:rRNA from 1 species
CGCGGCCUAUCAGCUUGUUGGUGAGGUAACGGCUCACCAAGGCGACGACGGGUAACCGGCCUGAGAGGGUGACCGGUCACACUGGGACUGAGACACGGCCCAGACUCCUACGGGAGGCAGCAGUGGGGAAUAUUGCACAAUGGGCGCAAGCCUGAUGCAGCAACGCCGCGUGAGGGAUGACGGCCUUCGGGUUGUAAACCUCUUUUAGCAGGGAAGAAGCGAAAGUGACGGUACCUGCAGAAAAAGCACCGGCUAACUACGUGCCAGCAGCCGCGGUGAUACGUAGGGUGCAAGCGUUGUCCGGAAUUAUUGGGCGUAAAGAGCUCGUAGGCGGUUUGUCACGUCUGCUGUGAAAAUCCAAGGCUCAACCUUGGACUUGCAGUGGGUACGGGCAGGCUAGAGUGCGGUAGGGGAGAUGGGAAUUCCUGGUGUAGCGGUGGAAUGCGCAGAUAUCAGGAGGAACACCAAUGGCGAAGGCACAUCUCUGGGCCGUAACUGACGCUGAGGAGCGAAAGCGUGGGGAGCGAACAGGAUUAGAUACCCUGGUAGUCCACGCCGUAAACGGUGGGUGCUAGCUGUGGGCCACAUUCCACGUGGUCCGUGACGAAGUUAACACAUUAAGCACCCCGCCUGGGGAGUACGG